GACUCCAUAGCCUAAUGGAUAAGGUGCUGGUCUAUGAAACUAGAGAUUCUAAGUUCAAUUUCCAAUGGUGUUA
rnacentral:tRNA from 1 species